CUUCUUGAAUAUAAUUGGAAGUCGGACCUGUCCACUGAUAAUUAUUGAAGGGCCGCGGUAUUUUGACCGUGCAAAGGUAGCAUAAUCAUUAGUCUCUUAAUUGUGGACUGGAAUGAAUGGUUUGACGAAAUAAUAACUGUCUCAUAUUUAAUUAAUUGAAUUUUACUUUUAAGUUAAAAGGCUUAAAUUUUGGUAAGGGACGAGAAGACCCUAUAGAUCUUUAUGAUUAUUUUAUAUUAUAUAUUUUAGAAUGUUUAGAUAUCUUAUAAUUUUAAUUAUUUUAUUGGGGUGAUAUGAGAAUAUUAUAACUUCUUAAUUUUUGACUUUGAUGGAUGGAUAUUUGAUCUUUUAUUAUGGAAUUAAGAUUAAGAUACCUUAGGGAUAACAGCGUUAUUUUAUUGGAGAGUUCUUAUUGAUAAUGUAGAUUGCGACCUCGAUGUUGGAUUAAGAAUAUAUAUAUUGGUGCAGAUGUUAAUAAUAUUGGUCUGUUC
rnacentral:rRNA from 1 species